CAGGUGCAACUGACAUGGGUGAACCCCGGGGGUCCAUGCGGAUUCUAGUGACAGGGGGCUCUGGACUGGUAGGCAAAGCCAUCCAGAAGGUGGUAGCAGAUGGAGCUGGACUUCCUGGAGAGGACUGGGUGUUUGUUUCCUCUAAAGAUGCCGAUCUCACGGAUGCAGCACAGACCCGCGCCCUGUUUGAGAAGGUCCGACCCACACACGUCAUCCAUCUUGCUGCAAUGGUGGGGGGCCUGUUCCGGAAUAUCAAAUACAAUUUGGACUUCUGGAGGAAAAAUGUGCACAUCAACGACAACGUCCUGCACUCAGCCUUCGAGGUGGGCGCCCGCAAGGUGGUGUCCUGCCUGUCCACCUGUAUCUUCCCUGACAAGACGACCUACCCCAUAGAUGAGACCAUGCAAUUUUGGGUACUCGUAUGCCAAGAGGAUGAUCGACGUGCAGAACAGGUCCUCACGCCCAUCCUGCUGAGGCCCAGCCAGGAGUGGGGGAGAGGGCCCCCAGGGGCGGGUGAGGCCGGCUGGUCGGGUCUUCGUGCCAGCCUCAGUAAGAGGCCAGCGGCAUCCUGGGGUGGGAUCACGGGCCCAGGACGAGGGCAGGAGACGCUGUGCCUCCGCAGGGCCUACUUCCAGCAGUACGGCUGCACCUUCACCGCUGUCAUCCCCACC
rnacentral:sRNA from 1 species